GUUAGAUGGCGUGCUUUCACUAAAAGACUGAAAAUGAGAUAUUACUAUUUACGGAGAAAGAAGUACCCUAGACACUGAUCUGAGGUCAGACUUGGUGUUUUAGUCCUACAAAGGGGGCCUGACAGGAUUGGAAAAGUUGGAUAAAGACGAAGUAGCCCCAAGACACUGAUCUGAGGUCAGAUUUGUGUUUUUGGCCUGUAAGUAGGCCCUGACAGGAUUGGAUAGGUGCAAUCAAGGUGUAGAAAUGUCCACAGAGCCUUUCAAAGAGUACGGUGGACCUACAGUACAGCUUUAAUACAGGUCCUAAUGGCUGUCCUGGGAUCAGAUUACCCUGACUAAAUACUAACCAAACCAUUAAAGAGUAAGGUGGAUCUACAGUACAGCUUUAAUACAGGUCCUAAUGGCUGUCCUAGGAUCAUUACCUGACUAAAUACUAACCAAACCAUUAAAGAUCUAAAUCAUAUCAGAUAUACAGGGGCCAAUAUGGAAUGUAGUAUGUUGCUUUAUGAUGAGUCACUCACCCACUGUAGGUCUCUGAAACACAGGAGUACUCUGUGCAGCUCUGACCAGCUCGUCUUUGUAGGAAGUCAGCAGUUGGGUCUGGACUCUUUCUCCCAUGAUCCUUUGCUGAUACUCCUCUGGGUUCUAACCGGUGGGACUGGCUGAUGAGGUGGUAAAUGUAGUCAUUGGACUUUUUUCUGUUAUGUAACAUUCUACACGUUGGAGUUUGACCUGAGCAAGGCUCUACAACAGGAUAUUUAGUGAUUUCUCAAUCUUUAGUAUUUUUUAAUAUUAGGAAAUAAGCAAGUCAAGAAUAGUUAAGAACUUACUCUGACACACAUCCAUCUCAGCUCAGCCGGGGAUAAGGAGACUCUCACAACAAGUAAUGUUAUCACACCACACUGAGGAAGUUAUGGAAAACACUAUUACUGAAUGAGGAAAUCACAAACAGUGGUGUUUUAGGGUUUGUGUGUGUGUGUGUGUGUGUGUAAAUUAGCAAGCCAUGCAGCAAGUCAACUAAACACUCACCUAAUAUUCCUAUUGCUGUGUGCUCCAGUCCUUCUCUCUAUCAGGUGAACCAACACUUGUAGGCUACACACAUUCUAGACUGGUGCCGUAGUAAGUAUGUGAGGUCAACCUCCCUCCCUUCUGGGUCUCUUACCUCUAAGAAUCUAAACGCUGUAUUACCUGUGCCAGUUGUCGAGACAACAUCAGAUAAACACCUGUAAUGACACGCCCCUCUAAUGCUCCAGAAUGAUAUGAAUAUACCAUGUCACUACAGAGUUCUCAAACAAACACAAGACCAGAUAGCGAGCACGAGGAAAGCAACAAACUAGUCUAACAGGAUGUAACGUUACAUUUGUUUUCCCUUCAUGAAUAGGCACCAUGUCUGAAAGGCACUUCCAGAUUGUUGAAGGUGUAGUCAUAGCUGUACUGUUCGUGUUAUUAUCCUGUGUUAGUAAUGGUUUGUAUCUGGCACUAAGCAGGAGUGAACUAUGAAUGGGUGUGGUGCCUCACAGCUUGGUUUCAGUUCAGGGAAAAUAUAACUUAAAUUACCACCACAUUAACUGAGGCAGCAGAGACAGACGGGACAAAGUAACAGGUAGGUGUUGAAUGGUUUAGUUUGAUGAAAUUCGAUUUGAAUCAAGGAUACCUGAACAAUGUGUAUGAACGGAUACACGCUAACGUCCCAAGUACUGCUUUGUAAAUGAGGAAAACACGGGGGGACUUUCCUAUAUCUAGGAGAUAUGGACACAUAAAAACUACCGACAUAACUACCACAAAACUACCUACAUACCUCCAUUCAUUUUUUAAAAAUGGUACCAGUUACUUUAGAUGAGUCCCGUCACAUACCAUUGUGCUUGUGAGAAUCCCACCUUUUCCAUAGUGGAGUCAUAUUAGUUUGUAGCCCAAACCGUUCAGACGCUACAGACAGAAGUUGGCACAUCGGCGGUACUGACUUCAGGCAAGUCUGAUAACACGUGUGGGGGUCGUAGAGCAAAACGAAGAACAUCGUUUGUAGGCCAAACCGUUCGGACGCUACAGCCGUUUUAGUGAGAAGACUGAUUUUUGCAUGCCACAUGGUCUGACAAACACCGCUGUAUCUCGGCCACCUUCCUCCACCGCAGAUGCAGAAGUCCGAUAUAGGCGGAGUUGGUAGAUUGAGAAGCAGUGGAAAACAGAAAAGAAAACGCUGCACACAUUUCCAUGACUUUGCCUACAUCUCCAGCGCCUGCGGAAAGUGCCUGGAUGUGCGUAUGUUCUUCAGUUCUGAGAUUGAGAAGCAGCCCAUGCAAAACAACACAUACAGUAUCUUUAACUUAAACUGAUGGAUUUUAAUGGGGAUUUUUUAUUAUGUUACUUAGAUUGAAGCAAGGGUGAAUCAAUAGACUCGUUGUUUAUUGUGAAACAGUCUGUUCUGUUUAAUCUGUUAUUGUGUUCUAUGUUUAUAUGUUACAUGUUCUGUGUUUAUUCUGUUCUAUGUUAAUUCUGUUCUGUGUUUAUUCUUCUUUGUGUUCUAAGUUCUAUGUUUAUUCUGUUCUAUGGUAAUUCUCUUCUGUUCUGUGUUUAUUCUUCUUUGUGUUCUAAGUUCUAUGUUUAUUCUGUUCUAUGGUAAUUCUCUUCUGUUCUGUGUUUAUUCUUCUUUGUGUUCUAUGUUUAUUCUGUUCUAUGUUCAUUCUGUCCUAUUUUCUAUGUUUGUUGUGUUCUAUGUUCAUUGUUUAACCAGUAAAUAACAUCACUUCAUUGUCUAAUUUCAAUGCUGUAUUGUAGACACCCUCUUCAUUGAGUUGAAUUGAGUUCAGGAUAAACAACAGAGGAAAAGUACAUCAACAUGAUGUCUUCAGCUGCUGAUAAGCCAGAUUGUGCGCUGAUGGUGGUUACUGUUGGAUUCUUGACGUUGAUCAUUGGAAUCGCUGUUGGAGUGAAACUGAAGGUGGCCACAGACCGGUUCGUUCAACAACAUCUAUGGAAGGUUUAUGUCUUUGUCCCUGUUUUUGUUGUUGCUUCUAUCAUGGUGGUUCUGAACUUGAAGAAACAGGAAGUAUAGAGGGAUACUGAAGCAUGACUCCUACAAUUAGCAAACACUUCUCUGUCAGUCACACAAAACUAUUGAAUGAAUGACUGAUUUGUAUGUUAUGUACAUUUGUUAUAAAUAGCAAUAAAAUACUUUUACAAAA
rnacentral:lncRNA from 1 species